UCUUUUUGUUAUCAGCCAACAACUAUAAACAAUCUAUGUCAAUCCAAAAUCCCAGGAGGGAUAAAUUUCUGUUAUAUUCAUGCUGGAGAAUUUUAUAGCAAUAAAAGCCUAAAGUAGAAAUGGAUACAAGAGAUUUUUUUUUCUUUGCUGGUCGGUC